rnacentral:rRNA from 1 species
GUCGAACGAGAGAGAGGGAGCUUGCUUCCUCAAUCGAGUGGCGAACGGGUGAGUAACGCGUGAGGAACCUGCCUCAAAGAGGGGGACAACAGUUGGAAACGACUGCUAAUACCGCAUAAGCCCACGGCUCGGCAUCGAGCAGAGGGAAAAGGAGCAAUCCGCUUUGAGAUGGCCUCGCGUCCGAUUAGCUAGUUGGUGAGGUAAUGGCCCACCAAGGCGACGAUCGGUAGCCGGACUGAGAGGUUGAACGGCCACAUUGGGACUGAGACACGGCCCAGACUCCUACGGGAGGCAGCAGUGGGGAAUAUUGCACAAUGGGGGAAACCCUGAUGCAGCGACGCCGCGUGGAGGAAGAAGGUCUUCGGAUUGUAAACUCCUGUUGUUGAGGAAGAUAAUGACGGUACUCAACAAGGAAGUGACGGCUAACUACGUGCCAGCAGCCGCGGUAAAACGUAGGUCACAAGCGUUGUCCGGAAUUACUGGGUGUAAAGGGAGCGCAGGCGGGCGAUCAAGUUGGAAGUGAAAUCCAUGGGCUCAACCCAUGAACUGCUUUCAAAACUGAUUGUCUUGAGUAGUGCAGAGGUAGGCGGAAUUCCCGGUGUAGCGGUGGAAUGCGUAGAUAUCGGGAGGAACACCAGUGGCGAAGGCGGCCUACUGGGCACCAACUGACGCUGAGGCUCGAAAGUGUGGGUAGCAAACAGGAUUAGAUACCCUGGUAGUCCACACCGUAAACGAUGAUUACUAGGUGUUGGAGGAUUGACC